UUUUUUUUUCGGGUCUCUUUUGCCCAGGUGACCACAGAGAUCCAAUACGGGUUUUCUCACAAACCACAUGACAAAAACUGUCUACAUAACGCAACAAGGCACCGCCGAAGCUCGCAUGGUUUUUACACAUCGGGCAGCUAUGGGGUUCUUGUUUCUUUACAGCCAACCUUCCCAUCAAUUUCUGACAGUAGGAGGCGAUGCUGAGUGUCAGCGGCAGGAGGCACGACGUCUUCAACAGCUGAUCUACGCAACUGAGAUCCGCAGAUUUUCUUUUAAAGUCUAUUUAAUUCACACAUAAAUGCACCUUUAUCAUACACAGAAUCCCAGAAGCUGUCUAUAAAAUAAAGCACGAACAUACUGAAGCUUGUAAGGCCUUGCAAAGCACAUCACAUUGAUUUAAGAACAUAUUUUACACAUUACGCCUGUCAGCGGCCUCGGGGGAUCCGUUUGUUUUUUUUAAUACUUCGUAAUUUUACCCCAGAUAUCCAUAAAUCCUUUGAUUGAAACAAUAUUCAUUGCCGUUUAAUUUACUUGCAUAAAGUCUGUAACAGUGUGUCCAAAAGUCCAAGUUAAGUCAUAAUUCGUAGUGUUUAUUAAACUGCCAUUUAUUACAUGUCAGUUUUUACAGCCAGCACAAUUUUUACAAGCUUUAACCCUUUAAAAUCCACUAUUAAAAAUCAACCACUUCUAGCUUGUGUUACAGGUUAUAUAUGGGAUGUGCCCUUUUAAAAAAGGUGCAUAUGAAAAAAAAAAACACCCUACAUACGUACAUCUAGUUAGUACUGGGUUGGACCCCUUUUUCCUCCAGAACUGCCUUAAGUCUUCAUGGCAUAAAUUCAACAAGGUGCUGAAAACAUUCCUCAGAGAUGUGGCUCCAUACUGACACGAUAGCAUCACAGUUUCUGCACAUUUGUCAGCUGCACAUCCAUCCAUCUCCCACAUCCCAAAAGGCGCUGUACUGGAGUGAGAUCUGGUGACUGUGGAGGUCAUGUUAUGUUAUGCUGCUGGAGGCAGUCAUCCUAAGAUUGGUACACACUGGUUAUAAAAGGCUGAACAUGAUUAGUAAGAAUACUCAGGUUGUGCGUUUAAAAAAUGCUUAAUUGGUGCCAAGCGGGCCAAAGUAUGCCCAGAAAAUAUCCACCCCAAAUUACACCAUCACCAGUAAUCUAAAGACAUUUUCUCUCAGAGAAAAAUACAGCUCGUGGGAUAUUUUCAGUUUUCUAAAAACCCCAGAGAUGGUUGUGUGGUAAAAUCCAAAUAGAUCAGUAGUUUCUAAAAUACUCAGACCAGGUUCGCACCAUAAGGGUGUGCAAAGAAACACAAAAACAUUUGUUGCCCAUUCUGAUGCUUCAGUAAGUUGCUUCACAUUGCUUAAAUGCACUGAGUUUUCAUCAUGUGAUUGGCUGAUAAGAAAUUUGCAUUAACAAGCAGUCAAACAAGUGUCCCUAAUAAAAUGACCAGUUAGCAUAUAAUCUCCAUCAGCUUGUUCAUCAGUUUAUAAGAUUUAGUAAAAUGCUUCAGCCCCAGUGUCUUUGUAGUCACUCCAGCUGUUCAGCCAUUCAUUUUCCUAACCAAAUUCCAGUCUCAGGCAAGGCAGACUGAGCUGGCUGAUAGGAGAGAGGUGAGAUACUACCUGGAAGUGCCUAUACAGGAGCAUGUCUGUGGGAGGAGACUGGAGCACACAGGGAGAAUGUGUAAACUCCACAGAGAAACACUCCAGCCGACCAGAAGGUCGGUGUUAACAUCUGCACCACUGCGUAGUCCUCUCAUCCUCCCACUGAAAUGUCAAAACACUCGAUCAUCUGUAUCAGUAACACUGUAUCUUGUAUGUUCUCAUACAUAUGUCCCUAAGCCCAGGUCACUAAUGUUUAGUGGGCUAAAAUCAGAAUAAUUAAAGGUCUACAAAAGAAAACCAGGCUGCCAGAGCACACUUUUGGUACUGUUUUUGUUUUAUGACUCGGAAUCUCUUAGUUAAGGCGGUCCAAAGAAAUACAUUUCUGGCCAUUUAGGUAUUUAAACCAAAGGCUAAGUAGGAAAUUUGUGUAAGAGUUUAAGAAAAGAUGUUGCGUAAAUGCAUCCUUACAGGAUGUGAAGACUCCAGCUCUGUGGGGUUCUUCUGGGGUUAAAACUUUUGCAGAGCUUUUACAAAACGACUACAAAUCAAGUCUCAGCCAACAGAUCUGCUUAAAAUUAUCCCUUAUAUGCAUCACAUGGCUUUGUGCGUGGCUUUGUGCAGAGGGUGACUCAUUCAUUCAGACUGUAUACCCAUUACAGUGAGACAGAGAGAGAGAGAGAGAGACAGAGGGAGGGAGGAACAGCCACCUAACAAGUGCCAAACUUGAGGCCAGCCUCUCCUCCCAUCUCAUUCUUUCCUACAUGGGCACUCUGAUGGGUUUGCAGACAGAUCAGUUUGCAGACUGAAGAGAGGUGGAGAACCAAGACGAACACUGGGAUCACGUAAGGAAAUCGUCAAACUGCUCUACAAAGAUCUCCAGAGAUUUCUCAUCCUCUAACGAACUUUAAAAAGCAAAACAAGAAAGUUGCAAUGGCGACACCCAAAAACACUCCACGAGGUGCAAACACACCACUUUCUCCCAACCGGAUCACCCGUCUCCAGGAAAAGGAGGACCUCUGCAACCUCAACGAUCGACUGGCCGUCUACAUCGACAAGGUCCGCUCUCUGGAGGCUGAGAACGCCGGGCUGCGUCUGCGCAUCACAGAGUCGGAGACAGAGGUCAGCAGAGAGCUGACGGGUCUGAAGGCCGCCUAUGAGACGGAGCUGGCAGAUGCCCGCCAGACUCUGGACUCGGUGGCCAAAGAGCGAGCACGGCUGCAGCUGGAGCUGGGCAAGCUGCGAGAGGACCACAAGGAGCUGAAAGCCAGGAACACUAAAAAAGAGUCAGAACUGGGGGGAGCCUUGCAGAGGCUCAAAGACCUGGAGGCUCUGCUUAAUUCGAAGGAUGCUUCCUUGACUACGGCUCUGGGAGAAAAGCGUAACCUCGAGGUGGAAAACAGGGACCUGAAAGCGCAGGUUGCCAAGUUGGAUACCAGCUUGGCCGAUGCCAAGAAGCAGCUGCAGGAUGAGAUGCUGAGGAGGGUGGAUGGAGAGAAUCGCAUCCAGACUUUGAAAGAGGAGCUGGAAUUUCAGAAGAACCUUCACUCUGAGGAGCUGCGGGAGAUAAAGAGGCGUCAUGAGUCCCGCAUGGUUGAACUGGAUAAUGGCCACCAGCAGGAGUUUGAAUGCAAACUGGCUGAGGCACUGGUGGAUAUGCGCAACCAGCAUGAGCUGCAGAUUAAAAUGUACAAGGAUGAGAUCGAGAAGACCUACAACACCAAGCUGGAGGGUGCUCGUCAGUCGGCGGACAGGAGCAGCCACCUGGUUGGGGCAGCACACGAGGAGCUCCAGCAGAUCCGAGUACGCCUGGAGUCCACGUCGACUCAGCUCAGCCAGCUACAGAAACAGCUGGCAGCUCGUGAGGCAAAGAUCAGGGACCUCGAGGAUGCUCUGUCGCGGGAGCGGGACAGCACGCGUCGCCUCCUGGGUGAGAAGGAUCGAGAGAUGGCAGAGAUGAGGCAGCAGAUGCAGCAGCAGCUCGAUGAGUAUCAGGAACUCCUCGAUGUUAAGCUGGCCCUGGACAUGGAGAUAUGCGCCUACAGGAAGCUGCUGGAGGGAGAAGAGCAAAGACUGCGUCUUUCGCCCAGCCCUCCUCCUACCAGGGCGGCGGGAAGUCGUUCCUCUACUUCUGGAGCUCUCUCUCGAUCUAUCCACCUCAGCGCUCAGAACUCCCCGGCUAAGAGACGUCGCCCCAACGACACCGACAGCGAGGCCUCCAGCUUCGCCGGUGGAGCCGUUUCCCGCACUCGCAUCACCCAGCAGGCCUCAGCCAGCGGACGUGUCACUGUGGACGAGGUGGAUCUGGAUGGGAAAUAUGUCAGACUCAGCAACAAAGCUGAUGAGGAUCAGAAUCUGGGGAACUGGCAGGUGAAGCGACAGGUAGGAUCUGGCACUCCCAUCGCCUUCAAGUUCCCAGCUAAAUUCACCUUGAAGGCCGGUCAGAGGGUGACGAUCUGGGCCUCUAAUUCUGGUGGAACUCAUAAUCCUCCAUCUGACCUGGUGUGGAAGAAUCAGCCCUCCUGGGGCACCGGAGACCUCUUCCAGACUACUUUGAUCAGCACUAACGGAGAGGAAAUGGCAAUGAGGAAAGUCACCCGCACACAGUUUGAAGAAGAAGAUGAUGACAUGCAGGUGGCUCACAGCACCUGUGGGGACGGCGAGUACAACCUGCGGAGCCGGACGGUCGUGUGCGGCUCAUGCGGACUUCCUUCAGACAAAUCCAGCAACUGCUCCGUGUCCUCUGCUUCCCGCUCCUUCCGCAGCGGAGGCAUCUCCGAGGGUUUACUGCCGCACUCCUACGUGUUCAACACGAGCACACCUCGCAAGACUGGAGGCAGAAUGGAGAGCUGUCCAAUCAUGUGAAGCCCUGGGGCCACUACACUACAUUUUCUAUACCUUCUUAGGUAUCAGUUGUUGAGUUAUCUGGUAUAGUUUUUAGUUCAGUUCAUGUACUUUGAAUUAAAUUUCAAGUUAUUGAAUGCCAGAAAAUUUUAUACUGCUUUUUAUAAUGUACAUAUGCAUGAAUAAGAAUAAUUUUUCCAGAGCUUAAAGAUUAAUUUGGGGUUAGCUUUGUUUGGUUUUUUUUAUAUAUUAGGGGAAUUUAAGGUUGGAAAAUGUAAACCAGUUACUUUAACAUUCAUUCGUUUUAAAAACUGAAUUCAAAUUAAUUCCAUUAUGCUCUAUAGACAGUCUGACACAGCGGGGUUGUGAUCAGUUUACAAUUUUACCAAAAUUGAAAACUUUAUUUUGAAAACUCUUUUUUCAUUAAAUCUGCUUACAUGGUGAAAGUAAAAUGAACCCAACCUUGCUACAGAUCUACAGAAUAUUGUCGUUUUUUUUAAUUAAAAUGAAUAAACAUGUUUUCAGAAA